rnacentral:rRNA from 1 species
CUGCGGCAGCGACGCUUAUGCGUUGUUGGGUAGGGGAGCGUUCUGUAAGCCUGCGAAGGUGGCCUGUGAGGGUUGCUGGAGGUAUCAGAAGUGCGAAUGCUGACAUAAGUAACGAUAAAGCGGGUGAAAAGCCCGCUCGCCGGAAGACCAAGGGUUCCUGUCCAACGUUAAUCGGGGCAGGGUGAGUCGACCCCUAAGGCGAGGCCGAAAGGCGUAGUCGAUGGGAAACGGGUUAAUAUUCCCGUACUUGGUGUUACUGCGAAGGGGGGACGGAGAAGGCUAUGUUGGCCGGGCGACGGUUGUCCCGGUUUAAGCGUGUAGGUGUGUGUUCCAGGUAAAUCCGGUUCACUUUAACACUGAGGCGUGACGACGAGGCACUACGGUGCUGAAGCAACAAAUGCCCUGCUUCCAGGAAAAGCCUCUAAGCAUCAGGUAACAUCAAAUCGUACCCCAAACCGACACAGGUGGUCAGGUAGAGAAUACCAAGGCGCUUGAGAGAACUCGGGUGAAGGAACUAGGCAAAAUGGUGCCGUAACUUCGGGAGAAGGCACGCUGACACGUAGGUGAAGUGAUUUACUCACGGAGCUGAAGUCAGUCGAAGAUACCAGCUGGCUGCAACUGUUUAUUAAAAACACAGCACUGUGCAAACACGAAAGUGGACGUAUACGGUGUGACGCCUGCCCGGUGCCGGAAGGUUAAUUGAUGGGGUCAGCGCAAGCGAAGCUCCUGAUCGAAGCCCCGGUAAACGGCGGCCGUAACUAUAACGGUCCUAAGGUAGCGAAAUUCCUUGUCGGGUAAGUUCCGACCUGCACGAAUGGCGUAAUGAUGGCCAGGCUGUCUCCACCCGAGACUCAGUGAAAUUGAACUCGCUGUGAAGAUGCAGUGUACCCGCGGCAAGACGGAAAGACCCCGUGAACCUUUACUAUAGCUUGACACUGAACAUUGAGCCUUGAUGUGUAGGAUAGGUGGGAGGCUUUGAAGUGUGGACGCCAGUCUGCAUGGAGCCGACCUUGAAAUACCACCCUUUAAUGUUUGAUGUUCUAACGUGGAUCCGUAAUCCGGGUUGCGGACAGUGUCUGGUGGGUAGUUUGACUGGGGCGGUCUCCUCCUAAAGAGUAACGGAGGAGCACGAAGGUUGGCUAAUCCUGGUCGGACAUCAGGAGGUUAGUGCAAUGGCAUAAGCCAGCUUGACUGCGAGCGUGACGGCGCGAGCAGGUGCGAAAGCAGGUCAUAGUGAUCCGGUGGUUCUGAAUGGAAGGGCCAUCGCUCAACGGAUAAAAGGUACUCCGGGGAUAACAGGCUGAUACCGCCCAAGAGUUCAUAUCGACGGCGGUGUUUGGCACCUCGAUGUCGGCUCAUCACAUCCUGGGGCUGAAGUAGGUCCCAAGGGUAUGGCUGUUCGCCAUUUAAAGUGGUACGCGAGCUGGGUUUAGAACGUCGUGAGACAGUUCGGUCCCUAUCUGCCGUGGGCGCUGGAGAACUGAGGGGGGCUGCUCCUAGUACGAGAGGACCGGAGUGGACGCAUCACUGGUGUUCGGGUUGUCAUGCCAAUGGCACUGCCCGGUAGCUAAAUGCGGAAGAGAUAAGUGCUGAAAGCAUCUAAGCACGAAACUUGCCCCGAGAUGAGUUCUCCCUGAGACUUAGAGUCUCCUGAAGGAACGUUGAAGACGACGACGUUGAUAGGCCGGGUGUGUAAGCGCAGCGAUGCGUUGAGCUAACCGGUACUAAUGAACCGUGAGGCUUAACCUUACAACGCCGAAG